rnacentral:rRNA from 1 species
AUUGAACGCUGGCGGCAGGCCUAACACAUGCAAGUCGAGCGAGCGGCGGACGGGUGAGUAAUGUCUGGGAAACUGACUGAUGGAGGGGGAUAACUACUGGAAACGGUAGCUAAUACCGCAUACCAUCAGAUGUGCCCAGAUGGGAUUAGCUAGUAGGUGGGGUAACGGCUCACCUAGGCGACGAUCCCGAGCUGGUCUGAGAGGAUGACCAGCCACACUGGAACUGAGACCCGGUCCAGACUCCUCCGGGAGGCAGCAGUGGGGAAUAUUGCACAAUGGGCGCAAGCCUGAUGCUGCCAUGCCGCUUGUGUGAAGCAGGCCUUCGGGUUGUAAAGCACUUUCAGCGGGGAGGCGUUACCCGCAGAAGAAGCACCGGCUAACUCCGUGCCAGCAGCCGCGGUAAUUC